GACGAACGCUGGCGGCGUGCUUAACACAUGCAAGUCGAACGGAAAGGCCCUGCUUUUGUGGGGUGCUCGAGUGGCGAACGGGUGAGUAACACGUGAGUAACCUGCCCGUUACUUUGGGAUAACGUCAGGAAACUGGGGCUAAUACCGGAUAUGAGCGCCUGGUGCAUGGGGGGGGGUGGAAAGUUUCGGCGGUUGGGGAUGGACUCGGGGCUUAGCAGCUUGUUGGUGGGGUAGUGGCUUACCAAGGCGUUGACGGGUAGCCGGCCUGAGAGGGUGACCGGCCACAUUGGCGCUGCGCUACCGCCCAGACUCCUACGGGAGGCAGCAGUGGGGAAUAUUGCACAAUGGGCGGAAGCCUGAUGCAGCAACGCCGCGUGCCGGAUGACGGCCUUCGGGUUGUCACCCGCUUUCGCCUGUGACGAAGCGUGAGUGACGGUAAUGGGUAAAGAAGCACCGGCUAACUACGUG
rnacentral:rRNA from 1 species